rnacentral:rRNA from 1 species
AGAGUUUGAUCAUGGCUCAGGACGAACGCUGGCGGCGCGCUUAACACAUGCAAGUCGAGCGAGAACCGGACCUUCGGGUCCGGGGAAAGCGGCGAACGGGUGAGUAACACGUGGGUAACCCACCCUUGGUACUGGGAUAGCCCGGGGAAACCCGGAUUAAUACCGGAUGGCCCAACAGCUCUUCGGGGCGGUUGGAAAAGGUAGCUUCGGCCUCCGACCAAGGACGGGCCCGCGGCGGAUUAGCUUGUUGGUGGGGUAACGGCCCACCAAGGCGACGAUCCGUAGCUGGUCUGAGAGGACGAUCAGCCACACUGGGACUGAGACACGGCCCAGACUCCUACGGGAGGCAGCAGUGGGGAAUCUUGCGCAAUGGGCGAAAGCCUGACGCAGCGACGCCGCGUGGGGGAAGAAGGCUUUCGGGUUGUAAACCCCUUUCAGGAAGGACGAAGCCACUCGGGUGAAUAGCCCAGAGGGUGACGGUACUUCCAGAAGAAGCCCCGGCUAACUACGUGCCAGCAGCCGCGGUAAUAC